AACUCUGGUAUUGAUUGGUGCUUGCAUCAUGAUUUACAUUUGAGUGAGUGGCGAACUGGUGAGUAACACGUGGGAAACCUGCCCAGAAGCGGGGGAUAACACCUGGAAACAGAUGCUAAUACCGCAUAACAACUUGGACCGCAUGGUCCGAGUUUGAAAGAUGGCUUCGGCUAUCACUUUUGGAUGGUCCCGCGGCGUAUUAGCUAGAUGGUGGGGUAACGGCUCACCAUGGCAAUGAUACGUAGCCGACCUGAGAGGGUAAUCGGCCACAUUGGGACUGAGACACGGCCCAAACUCCUACGGGAGGCAGCAGUAGGGAAUCUUCCACAAUGGACGAAAGUCUGAUGGAGCAACGCCGCGUGAGUGAAGAAGGGUUUCGGCUCGUAAAACUCUGUUGUUAAAGAAGAACAUAUCUGAGAGUAACUGUUCAGGUAUUGACGGUAUUUAACCAGAAAGCCACGGCUAACUACGUGCCAGCAGCCGCGGUAAUACGUAGGUGGCAAGCGUUGUCCGGAUUUAUUGGGCGUAAAGCGAGCGCAGGCGGUUUUUUAAGUCUGAUGUGAAAGCCUUCGGCUCAACCGAAGAAGUGCAUCGGAAACUGGGAAACUUGAGUGCAGAAGAGGACAGUGGAACUCCAUGUGUAGCGGUGAAAUGCGUAGAUAUAUGGAAGAACACCAGUGGCGAAGGCGGCUGUCUGGUCUGUAACUGACGCUGAGGCUCGAAAGUAUGGGUAGCAAACAGGAUUAGAUACCAUGGUAGUCCAUACCGUAAACGAUGAAUGCUAAGUGUUGGAGGGUUUCCGCCCUUCAGUGCUGCAGCUAACGCAUUAAGCAUUCCGCCUGGGGAGUACGGCCGCAAGGCUGAAACUCAAAGGAAUUGACGGGGGCCCGCACAAGCGGUGGAGCAUGUGGUUUAAUUCGAAGCUACGCGAAGAACCUUACCAGGUCUUGACAUACUAUGCAAAUCUAAGAGAUUAGACGUUCCCUUCGGGGACAUGGAUACAGGUGGUGCAUGGUUGUCGUCAGCUCGUGUCGUGAGAUGUUGGGUUAAGUCCCGCAACGAGCGCAACCCUUAUUAUCAGUUGCCAGCAUUAAGUUGGGCACUCUGGUGAGACUGCCGGUGACAAACCGGAGGAAGGUGGGGAUGACGUCAAAUCAUCAUGCCCCUUAUGACCUGGGCUACACACGUGCUACAAUGGAUGGUACAACGAGUUGCGAACUCGCGAGAGUAAGCUAAUCUCUUAAAGCCAUUCUCAGUUCGGAUUGUAGGCUGCAACUCGCGUACAUGAAGUCGGAAUCGCUAGUAAUCGCGGAUCAGCAUGCCGCGGUGAAUACGUUCCCGGGCCUUGUACACACCGCCCGUCACACCAUGAGAGUUUGUAACACCCA
rnacentral:rRNA from 2 species